CCUACGGGUGGCAGCAGUGAGGAAUAUUGGUCAAUGGGCGCGAGCCUGAACCAGCCAAGUAGCGUGAAGGAUGACUGCCCUACGGGUUUUAAACUUCUUUUAUAAAGGAAUACAGUGAGGCACGUGUGCCUUUUUGUAUGUACUUUAUGAAUAAGGAUCGGCUGACUCCGUGCCAGCAGCAGCGGUAAUACGAAGGAUUCGAGCGUUUUCCGGAUUUAUUGGGUUCAAAGUGAGCGUAGAUGGGUUGUUAAGUCAGUUGUGAAAGUUUGCGGUUCAACCGUAAAAUUGCAAUUGAUACUGGCAGUCUAGAGGACAGUUGAGGUAGGCGGAAUUCGUGGUGUAGCGGUGAAAUGCUUAGAUAUCACGAAGAACUCCGAUUGCGAAGGCAGCUUACUAAACUGCCACUGACAUUGAUGCUCGAAAGUGUGGGUAUCAAACAGGAUUAGAUACCCUUGUAGUC
rnacentral:rRNA from 1 species